UCCUUCACUGUUCUGGGAUUGAUUUGCACUUUUCGCACCAAAGUACUCCCUUUCUAGGAGACAGAACGCGUCUCAUUUCUGAGCAGUAUGACGGCUGUUCAUCUGUACAAUUGUUUGUACAGAUGAACGUGGUACCUUCAGGCAUUUGGAAAUUGCUCCCAAGGAUGAACCAGACUUAUGGAGGUCUACAAUCUUUUGUCUGAGGUCUUGGCUGAUUUCUUUUGAUUUUCCCAUGAUGUCAAGCAAAGAAUCACUGAGUUUGAAGCUCUCUGCAGGUCAUUCACUAGGUCCCCCCGGGUGGUUCUGGGAUUUUUGCUCACCGAUCUUGUGAUCAUUUUGACCCCACGGGGUGAGAUCUUGCGUGGAGCCCCAGAUCGAGGGAGAUUAUCAGUGGUCUUCCAACUGGCCGUGCUGCUGCUCCAGUUUCAACUGUUCUGCCUCUGAUUAUUGUUAUUUGACCAUGCUGGUCAUUUAUGAACAUUUGAACAUCUUGGCCAUGUUCUGUUAUAAUCUCCACCCGGCACAGCCAGAACAGGACUGGCCACCCCACAUAGCCUGGUUCCUCUCUAGGUUUCUUCCUAGGUUUUGGCCUUUCUAGGGAGUUUUUCCUAGCCACCGUGCU